UUUUCCUCCUUUUUUCUCCUUUUUUCUCCCUUAUUCUCCCUCUGUCCUUGUCGCUGUCCCCGGGAGCUGCGGGGCCGUUCGUGAGGGUACCGCCCUCUGCCCGUCCCGCUCGCGCUCAGCGGCUCCGGGGCCGUGAGGGCGCCGUGCCCGGAGAUGGCACCCGAGCGGUGCGGCCGCUUCGGACCGGUCAGGACACCUCGGAGAGAGGGGACAAAGCGGGACUGAAGCUUUCCUCCCCCGAGAAGAGAAGCAGAAACUCAAAACCUUGGGAUAAUUAAAUGCACUUGUCUUGGAGGGCUUCAAGAAUGAUGCGGUGCUAUGGUGGAGUGGCCCCGCAGUCCUUCAUCUGCAGGGAAGGCUGGAGACGCUUCUUCAGGCCCAAAGUCUUCAAGCAAAAUGACCUGCUCCAACAUCAGUGAUGUCCACAGUGGAGCUGAUUAUGUCAGACACAAAAGAAAAGAGAGGCCUGGUCCAAAACCAGGAACGUGUCUGGUUUACAAGUCCAUGGGACUUCACUUGACACUGGAUGAUGUGACAUUUUGGAUAGCAACAAAAGCACAGUUAAGGGCUAAUUAAAGGUGGUGGGUUUCAGGAUAUGGAAGAUUUUUGUGGCUGUGGCUUCGACAGAGCCUCAACAACCACAAGGAGCAGUUCUACAGAAGCCAUCAAUCUUCACCACAGAAGGAAAGUUUGGAAAUGUUGUAUGCCAUAACUAAUACAAUGCAAUUUUGGCUCUUGAACUUCAGGUGCUAAAAAGGCUUAAAAAAGGCCAGGAAUACCAGUUCCCUGUCUGCAGUGCAGCAUGGAAUAAUUUCAUUCCAAGAAGCAAACAUGAAACAUUCAUGGCUGUCAAGUGCAAAUAGGCCUAAUUUCAGUUGUUGAUCUCUUUUUUUGGGCACUCUGCUAGGAGAGCAGCAGAUACACUCCCAGUCAGAAACAAGGUUGUAGAUUUACUAACCCAGCACACCAAGGGAACUGGUUUGCCAAGUCUAACCAACUGCUCUGCUCUUCGUGCAGCCCGAACACAACCCUCCACACACCUUGCCUUCAGGUUAAAGGAAGCUCCCCUCUCUGCAAGUGUAUCCAGUUGCUCUUUUUAUGCCUAACACCACAGUUCUGGGGUUUGUUGGAAUACAUCAAUGCUCCAGAUACAAAACUGGGUAUACACAGAAGGUGGUUUGUGUGUCUUGCUGUCUUUCCAGUCUCUGGAGCAGUUCUUAGCCAUGAAAGUCAUGUGCAGUGUCUGGCUUUUUCUGUAGAGGUGGAACCAAUGCUCUGAACCAUCUAAAGGGGCCUCAGUAGAAAUUAUCAAGGAGACUUUGAGCCUGGUGCUCUGUCUCAGUUACUCUGAAAAUCAGGCAACCUCUCUCACCCCCCCAGUAAAGCCCUUUUUCCCCACACAAGAGAUGGGGAGGGAGGAGCAGGAUCAGAAUUGUCACCGUUUGGGGACCAGCAGAACAACACAGGCACACAGUUCCAAAACUGAGAAUGUUUUAGUUGAAAUAAUCUAAAUUCCUUGUUUUACUGAGCUGCUUGAUCUCCCUCCCUAACACCUCCUGAGACAGCAGCCAUUAAACUCCUUGGUUACUCCCUCUGAAACAAAAGUUUCCUCAUCUCUACCAGGACUGAUUUAACCAAACCACACUGGGUCUGGUGGCCCUUUGCAAGUGCUGGGCUGGGAUGAGCCUGAGAAAAACUGUUAAAAACAAACAAAAUGCUCCAUAGGCCAAAGUUUUACCUACCAAUAGCAAAACUAUUCACAUUUGGAAAAAGUCUAAUAUAACCUCUGAAGGUUUGCAAGCAUUACAGUCCUUUAAAAGGAGAAAAUAGUUUAAUCAGCAUACAAAUAUUUAAUUCAAAAUUCUAAGAGGUAAUUAAAAAUUACUUGUAUCAAAUGCCAAAGCAUAUAAUCACAGAAACUUGCUCUUAGUUCAUGUAACACAGGCACUACAUAUCCCCAAAUUUCUGUCUGUAUAGGAACAUAUCUCUUGGAAAACCUGCCAUUUUAACAGGAUUAUAAAACCAGGAAAAUUUAAAGGGAUACACUUCUCACUAAAAAAAUAGCUUUAUUUACAAAAUGGAUUUAGAAAGUUUUAAUUAUUUUAAGAUGCAGCACUUACCUUGUAUCUCUUGCCCCCCUCUAAAGUGUCCGUCUCAGCACAUUUCUGGUCAGUUGGAAAGUAAAGAAGAAAAACAGAAGUCACAAAAAUGUCACAAGGAUUCAUUAUUUUCAAAGGUACAUAUUCUAGCCCAUUUAAGAAAUUAAAGCCCUAAGAAUAUUAAUUCACUUUUCUCAGUUUUUGCAGGUUUGUGAUGUUAAAGUAUGUUACUAGGUUAAAAUCCUGAGAGUAAACUGAUUCUAAUAUGCUCUAAAAAAAUAUUUUAGCACCUUUCAUGUUACUACUCAAAUUCUAAGACCUUAUUUGUCCUUCCAGUUACCUCUGGCAAGAAUAACAGUGGUAAAACCCUCUUCUUUUAACUCAACUACAAUAUACAAGACCACUUCCAGCUCCUUUAAGUCCAUCUUGCAUAAUUUCUUAGAGCUGGAAUGUCUUCACACUUGGAAGUUUAAGUGCCAAUUAUAUCUAAGCACUAUAACUUCAUUUAAUAACAGAAAUAUAUUCUAGUUUUCUACGGAUUCCAAUGCAAUGGACCCUUUAUAAAGAAAAAGAAACUGCUCACAUGAC